AGUGGAGGCGGUGGCGGGAAAAUCUGAACCCUGUCUGGGCCUCCUCAAGGUCGACUCAGCCUGAAGGUGCCCACACGCUGCUCUGUGUGUGAUCCAACGUAUCUUCAAGACUUCCCUGACGAAGCGCCAGAAGCUGGAGCUCGCCGCCAUGGACGCGGUUUGGUUUUUUACUUUGGACGAGGGGGAGGAGGAAAGCCGAGGGGGCGUCGCCAAUGGGGGAUAUGACGACGACGAUAACAACUACAUCCUUGUGUUGCAGCCCACUUGUCUGGUAAUGAACCAUAAGCUCCAAGCACCCACUGGAGCAGGUGAGCCGUGGCGGGAAAGCAGCUUGUUGGCCGGAGGCUGCCCAGCUUGAGGCGGGCGGCGGUAGCUAUCCACUAGGGUGCAAUGACCCCUCCCACUGACGAUGGAAACCCAUGGCGCCCAUUUUUUUACGCCAAUCUAAAAUGAGCUUAUAACCCGUGAGCUGCUGCCGCCCGUGUUUCUUGGCCACGGUUAGGUGGCCGAGAAGGAGUGUCCUCUCCCCAUUCUUGCACCUCGUGUUGGCGCAAAGCCCGGGCAGGUUACUCUGGAAAUCCUGGUGUUGCCCAUGCGUCAGGAUCCCCCCCCUCGGCCUUGCUGGCGAUGUUCAUACGAGUGCGUAGCACGACGUUUGGUACCAGUUUGGCUGCAGGGGCUGCCGGGAAUGUGCCGCUUUGCGUCACAAAACCGCCUAAGGGGCCCCACUCCUGAUUUUCUGUAGGGGUUUGCUCCCUUAGCCAUUGACUCUCCCGAGACGAUCACAAGGCAGUGAGAAGACCGCGUAACCCUUACCAGGUACUGACGGCCGGGCCAACUGUGCCUGGGACUCGCGUAAGGCAGGGUCAUCACGCCCUGAAGUAGUUUAUCGCAAACUACCCACUACCGAUACAAUAACAACAGUCCCAGACCACACCGAGACAACAACAACAACAGUCUCAGACAACGCCAAGACAACAACAACAACAGAGUAAGUAGCAGAUCCCUAUAAUAAAAUAUACGCAUUAAAAAUGUAACUAUCGAUGAUGCACGGUUAAAGGGGUCAAAAGUUAAUAACCUCAUUUGCAAAUGUGCUUGCUGUAUUCAGCACUAAUCUGGUUCAUGAUCAUUUUGCUGAAGGAAUAUUUACGACGUUAAGCUGAAGGGAACGAGAUUGUUCCAAAACGGUGGUGCUGCGAUGGUAAAAGCUUUGUCAGCUAUUCCAAUUCUCGUUCUUUGGGAUCGUUAAAAAUGGCAAUUAGACGGAUGUCUCAGAUUUAUUGGGUUUGACAGUGGGGUUAAUGAAUUAGCUACAUAUGGAAUGUAAGAAGUUCAAUAAUAGUGUAGCGCAGAUUUGCCAAUAAGGAUUUAAUGGACGAACAGGGCCCUAAUGUUAGAUGAUUUCUUCUUGCGUCGAGGGAUGUGAGAUUUGAUUUUAGGUCUAGAUUUGAGAAUUCGUGACUGCAAGGAUUCAUACUCUUUGGUGUUUUCCGUAAAGUCACGUAGGUAAAAUAAAGUAAAUAAUUUAGUUUUCAUUUAUUUUAUGUACCUACGGUCAGAAUGGUGGGUCCUGUGUGGUACAUCCAGUAGAAAUCAAAGAGCAGAAUUAGAAAUUUCGGUUAGUCUGUUUAGCGUUGCACUAGUCGAUAUACUUUAAGCCGUGUCGUAGUAGCUGAAAAGGAGUGGUAGAAUGAUAGCUUCCACAAUUUACAGGCACAAUAGAUGGGACAACUUUUUUCCCGUGUGAAAACCCUAUUUUUGAUUAGAUUUACUUUCAUAUGUGAUCAAUAUGGGGUUGGAAUGUAAGCUUUUAAUCGAUCAGUAAACCCAAGUAUUUUAAACACUCCGUUUGUUAAAUGAUGUUCUUUCUCAUAUCUGUAAUAGGUGAAUGGAAUGAAACGAUGUUUGUUUUUUUGGGGGGCUUUAGGGGCAAUUUUACUUAUGAAAAUUGAUGUUGAAUUAAGUCGAAAUUAUGUUGGAGAUUCUGUUUGACUUCGUUUGGGGAUUUAUCAAAUAUCCGCAUGACAAGUGUCAUCAGCAAAUUGAUUUAAUUCUGAGUGAUUUAAGUUUAGUCCAAGAUUGUUUCAAUAUAAAAACAGAAUUGGGCCCAGCAUGGAACCCUGUGGAACAGCCUUUGCUAUAUUAAUAUUUGUGGACGUGAGGUUAUCACUUGUAGGAACAGGCUCCUUCAUUACUGUUUGUAUGAAUAUUGUUACAUUCAUUUUAAGGACCUUUUCCUAUCGCCGUAUAUGCUCGCGUUACUCUGAGGAAUUAUUUUAUUGUACUGUCUGAACAUUUUAGCUGGCCAAGUCUUGUGAUUAGAAUAUCUUAGUCAACAGUGUCAAAGGCUUUUACCAAGUCAAAGAAUAGUGCACAGCAGUAGUGGCCUUUAUCCAGGGUACUGAAGAAAACAAUAAUAAUACAUCCAUCGUAGCUGUGGUGGUGCAGGAAUCCUCUCGAAAACCUGUUUACUGCGCAGGAGAUUGUGACUUUUUAGGCAGCAGUUUAUUUGUGAUUUAACUUUUUAUUCCCUCGAAUAUUUUAGCUUACUGGUAAAAUAAUAGAUAUUGGCCUAUAAUUAUUCGGAUCUUUUUGUAGCCAUUUUUAUACAAUGUAUGCAUGUAUGUUGACCUUCUUUCACACCGUAUGUAGCCAACCGUGCUGAUCGGAGGUGCGUAAUGGACGAAUGCGAGCGGAUUACCACUCGAGUGGAAAUGUACGUUUGGUGAGGUGAGAGGUUGAAAAUGUUUGCGAGGGGGUUCAUAGAUUGGAUCUGCUGCAGUCACAAGUGAAAACGCAGGCAAGUCAUCUUCUCCCAUGCAUGACGAAGUCAUAAUUAAUGCGAAGUUGAAGCAGCGCAUCCAGUUCAAAAAGGAGACCCUAACGAGAAGUAGGGCCGAAGACUUUCGCUAAACACUUUGAGGUUUGGUGGCAGAAGGAGGAGGAGGAGGAAGAAGAAGUGAGUGAUGUGAAUGGUGGUGCAUCUGGAGACCUUUCCUCCACUUUCAAAGACUAUAAAUUUUGCUCACUACAUCCCAGGCAAAAUGGGGAGUGUCACGUAUGCAUACUGUAAAUGCUUCAAUAUCUGUUAAUAAAAAUGAUCGUUGUACAAUGAUCGAGGUGUUUAAGUUGUUUUUGCACGACCGAUGCCAUAGGUAAAGGCACAGACGGUCUGAGCGGGUCUGAGGGAGCCUAGGUGAGGGCGGCGGUGGAGAUGUAGAGUCGCUGUGUGCGGAGACGCUGAGAGCAGAGCUGCCGAGUGCAGGAUAAGCGAGGUGAAAGGUAAACAAGAGUGGGGAGAGGUUAAACACAAGUGACCGUAUAGAUAGUUAUAAGAGUGCCUACAACUGGUGCAAGAAUAGGCGAAUAAAGUGUAAGCAGGUGAACUGUUCCAACGCGUCGGUGUGAGCAACUUUUCGAAGACACUACAUUUGGUGCCACAAGUGCCAACGAACACUUCGCCCGUCAUGUCCCGAGUCGGCGAUUUAAACGUAAUGACCCAGCUGUUGCGUCACCCGAUGACGACGCCGAACUAAGGAAGGCGUCGUCCCCCUUCGAGCGCCCCGCUCUCGACGAACGUGCUCCAGUCGGCUCGGGAGUGCACGGCGAGCCCAGCCAAGCCACCUCCGCAGGAGCUGGGCUGGGCAUCGCCGGGUCACCUGGGGGAGGGUUUGCUGUCGGCCGUUGGCCGCCGCUCAUCUCUUUGAGCGGAUGACUGCCGCGACUUCUACCGGACGGCAAACACGCUCUUCCCGCCGCUGUCAUAACCGAGGCGACCGGAGCGCUGGACCUUCCCGCCAUUUCGGGGUUUGCAGCCCCGAAAUGGUGGGAAGGGCAUUGAAAAAUUUUAUACU